CGUCGAGCUUCGCCGUUGUCGAAAUUCCCUGUGAGAUCUCGUUGUGAAUUCGCUCAUGCUCGUCGUUGUGAAUUCAGCCGACGUUCGUCGUCUCUGGUUCACGGGAGCCUUCCUUUUGUUGCCAACAAACAAAGUUGUCGUCAUAUUUGUCCACUUCUCCCCUCAGCUUAUCAGACCUAAGCUUGGGGUUUGUAAAUUACUUCCUCGGAACGAAGAAGAGAAACUUUGUAACCCUUCUUAGCUUCAAUCAAAAAGUCUCCUUUUAUAAAAGAUGUCAGAAAACACCAAAGUCGAAGCAAAGAGAAUUUUCAUAGGAGCAGGAUGCAACAGAGUCGUCAAUAACGUCUCUUUGUUAACGAUGUACUGAUGUGAUAGGUCGUUGUUGUUCUUCUUGUCUUUGUUCAUUGAUGUUACUAGCUGCGAUCUCGCCGAAGCUUUGAUUAUGUUAGUGUUCAUCGUAGUUGUGAUCUCGUUAUUCCAUAUGACUACCAGUUUUCAGGUUUUAUCAUGUAGGUUUGCAUAUAAGAUUAACUGAUUUUGAUUCCUCAAUGCAUAUAGUUGUUAAAUAGUUAUUCAUAAUCAGUUAUAAUAGCUCUGUUCUCUUAUCCUAACAUGUUCACUGGCUUCCACUUUCAAUACACUUCAGAGCUGUAGUUACAUGUGUUCUCAUCUUCACUCCCAACUUCCACGUCUUCGUGACUCUCCACACGUCUUAAGAGACUUGGAAUUAAACUGAAUUGAAUUUUUUGUUUUGUGUUGAUAUUGAUAGGGUGGAAUUGACGAAGUUGAGGAUCCAAGAGCUGCAGUCAUGGGAGAGCUUGAAGAAGUACUGGAGCUUAGAUUAUAAUACUCAGCAUCCAUAUUUGUUAAACUUUUUAGAUACUUUGUAAAAAAUAAUUAAAACCUUAUAAAAAGCCUUAUAAAAUCCUUAUAAAAAA